GGCCGGUUGGCGCAAUGGUAGCGCGUAGCCCUCCUAGUUCCAGGUGUCAGGCUAAGGCUGUGGGUUCGAGUCCCACAUCGGUCG